rnacentral:rRNA from 1 species
AUUGAACGCUGGCGGCAUGCCUUACACAUGCAAGUCAACGGCAGCACGGGAGCAAUCCUGGUGGCGAGUGGCGAACGGGUGAGUAAUAUAUCGGAACGUGCCCAGUCGUGGGGGAUAACGUAGCGAAAGCUACGCUAAUACCGCAUACGAUCUAUGGAUGAAANCGGGGGAUCGCAAGACCUCGCGCGAUUGGAGCGGCCGAUAUCAGAUUAGGUAGUUGGUGAGGUAAAGGCUCACCAAGCCGACGAUCUGUAGCUGGUCUGAGAGGACGACCAGCCACACUGGGACUGAGACACGGCCCAGACUCCUACGGGAGGCAGCAGUGGGGAAUUUUGGACAAUGGGCGCAAGCCUGAUCCAGCAGUGCCGCGUGCAGGAUGAAGGCCUUCGGGUUGUAAACUGCUUUUGUACGGAACGAAACGGUGAGCUCUAAUACAGUUUGCUAAUGACGGUACCGUAAGAAUAAGCACCGGCUAACUACGUG